AAAAGUCGUAACAAGGUCUCCGUUGGUGAACCAGCGGAGGGAUCAUUACAGAGUUAUCCAACUCCCAAACCCAUGUGAACUUAUCUCUUUGUUGCCUCGGCGCAAGCUACCCGGGACCUCGCGCCCCGGGGGGCCCGCCGGCGGACAAACCAAACUCUGUUAUCUUAGUUGAUUAUCUGAGUGUCUUAUUUAAUAAGUCAAAACUUUCAACAACGGAUCUCUUGGUUCUGG
rnacentral:misc_RNA from 1 species